UACGAAAGGUCCAAGCGUUAAUCGGAAUUACUGGGCGUAAAGCGUGCGUAGGCGGUUUCUUAAGUCCGUUGUGAAAGCCCUGGGCUCAACCUGGGAACUGCGAUGGAUACUGAGGAGCUGGAGUACGGUAGAGGAAGGUGGAAUUCCCGGUGUAGCGGUGAAAUGCGUAGAGAUCGGGAGGAACACCAGAGGCGAAGGCGGUUUCCUGGACAGUUACUGACGCUCAGGCACGAAAGCAUGGGGAGCAAAAGGG
rnacentral:rRNA from 1 species